CCGACAUUCCCUGAGCAGGGAGCAACAUAACAGUAAAUGAUAACUUAAAUGGACUAUAAAUGAGCCGAGUGGAAUGGAUUUAAAGAAGCAGCAGCAUGAAAGGGACGGCUGUAGAAUGGUGUUUAAUUUAUUAGUGUAUUCUUCAAGUGGAAUGGAUUUGACUGACGACGCUCUGAAAGGUGAACAAACAGAUGUGCUGAAUUUCAGACAGUAAAAUAACACUGUUCGGCAGCUAAGCACAGCAGCCAUGAAAGGCAGCCUCCCUCAGGGUCCUAGUGCCUGACCACAGUAGAGAUUUAAAUUUUGAAGCAGUGGAAACAGCCAGAAGGAUUACUUUAAGCCAAUAAAUAUAUUAUAAAUUAUAUUUCUAUAAAUAUA